rnacentral:rRNA from 1 species
GAUGAACGCUAGCGGCAGGCCUAAUACAUGCAAGCUGAACGGCAAGAUUUGUAGCAAUACGAGUCCUAGAGUAGCGUAAGGGUGCGUAACACGUAUGCAAUCUGCCCGCAACAGGAGGAUAGCUUAGCGAAAGUUGAGAUAAGACUCCAAUAAGAUCACGAGAGGCAUCUGAUUGUGAUUAAACUACAAGGGUUGCGGAUGAGCAUGCGUCUGAUUAGUUAGUUGGC